AUGGGCAUGCGCUCAAAGGAUACAAACAGGGAUUCGCAAACAAAAAGGGGAAUUCGUAGUCACUUUUUCCUGUCGCGUAAAAAAAAGUCUUUACGCGAGAGCAAUAGAGGUUGGGAUACAUCUAUCUCUUCUGAGCAACCUCUUUUGGAUUCUUAA
rnacentral:rRNA from 1 species